AACGAACGCUGGCGGCAUGCCUAACACAUGCAAGUCGAACGAGACCUUCGGGUCUAGUGGCGCACGGGUGCGUAACGCGUGGGAACCUGCCCUUAGGUUCGGAAUAACUCCCCGAAAGGGGUGCUAAUACCGGAUAAUGUCUUCGGACCAAAGAUUUAUCGCCUUUGGAUGGGCCCGCGUUGGAUUAGCUCGUUGGUAGGGUAAAAGCCUACCAAGGCGACGAUCCAUAGCUGGUCUGAGAGGAUGAUCAGCCACACUGGGACUGAGAAACGGCCCAGACUCCUACGGGAGGCAGGAGUGGGGAAUAUUGGACAAUGGGCGAAAGCCUGAUCCAGCAAUGCCGCGUGAGUGAUGAAGGCCUUAGGGUUGUAAAGCUCUUUUACCCGGGAUGAUAAUGACAGUACCGGGAGAAUAAGCUCCGGCUAACUCCGUG
rnacentral:rRNA from 1 species